rnacentral:rRNA from 1 species
GUCGAGCGAGGUUACUGUUUUGGAUCCCUUCGGGGUGAAGAAGCUUUAACCUAGCGGCGGACGGGUGAGUAACGCGUGGGUAACCUACCCCAAAGUCCGGGAUAACAGCGGGAAACCGCUGCUAAUACCGGAUGCCUUUACCUUGGGGCAUCUUGAGGUAAAGAAAGGUAACGCUUUGGGAUGGGCCCGCGUCCCAUUAGCUAGUUGGUGAGGUAACGGCUCACCAAGGCGACGAUGGGUAGCCGGCCUGAGAGGGUGGACGGCCACACUGGGACUGAGACACGGCCCAGACUCCUACGGGAGGCAGCAGUAGGGAAUAUUGCGCAAUGGACGGAAGUCUGACGCAGCGACGCCGCGUGAGCGAUGAAGGUCUUCGGAUCGUAAAGCUCUGUCCUUGGGGAAGAAGGCGAAAGCUUGACGGUACCCAAGAAGAAAGCCCCGGCUAACUACGUGCCAGCAGCCGCGGUAAUACGUAGGGGGCGAGCGUUGUCCGGAAUUACUGGGCGUAAAGGGUGCGUAGGCGGCCCUUUAAGUCGGAUGUGAAAGCCCGCGGCUUAACCGCGGAAUGGCAUUCGAAACUGGAGGGCUUGAGUGUCGGAGAGGGUAGUGGAAUUCCCAGUGUAGCGGUGAAAUGCGUA